rnacentral:miRNA from 1 species
GGCGUCGGAAUCUGGCACUGGGGUUCAUGCAUGAAAACUGUGGCCAGCGGGGCCUGGACCUACACCCCCACCUCUGCAGUCACACUGAAGUCUGCC